GGGAGGUACUGGGUUACAAGAAGGGAACAGGUGUGAGGGGUGACAACAUACUCAUUCAGCUUUGGACUCGUGCCUGUGGGGGUCCUGUAGGAGAUCUUGCGGACCUGUGCAGUGGGCCGUCGGAAAGGCAAGCCUGACCCUUUCAAGAGAGGUCAGGCCUGGAGACCAAGGGCACUGAAAGAGAACACAGGGCUGAUUCCUUGACCUUUUGCAGUUCAUAGUCUAGUGAGGAAUACGAAUAAUUACAAAGGAAAGACUCUUUUACAGCCCUCAGCACUGUUAUUGCGUGAACUGGCUCAGCAUGGCCGGCCCAGUGAAGGACGCCAGUGGUAGUAACCGGGGAAGAGGGAUCCCCUGGCUCUUCUUACCAAACUUCUUCGAUCGUUUGGAGUGGUUUGGCCAUCAGUUAGUCAGGAAGAGGCCAGAAGGACACGUGCUGAUAAUGCUUCAAGAAAGUUAAACUUUAGGAAAAACUCGACCGAAGUAAAAAUAGCUAUGUAGUCAGUGACCAAAGCUACUUGGAUGGUCCUGUUGAUUGCUCUUG
rnacentral:lncRNA from 1 species